rnacentral:rRNA from 1 species
AAACCAACUGGGAUUACCUUAGUAACGGCGAGUGAAGCGGUAAAAGCUCAAAUUUGAAAUCUGGUACUUUCAGUGCCCGAGUUGUAAUUUGUAGAAUUUGUCUUUGAUUAGGUCCUUGUCUAUGUUCCUUGGAACAGGACGUCAUAGAGGGUGAGAAUCCCGUUUGGCGAGGAUACCUUUUCUCUGUAAGACUUUUUCGAAGAGUCGAGUUGUUUGGGAAUGCAGCUCAAAGUGGGUGGUAAAUUCCAUCUAAAGCUAAAUAUUGGCGAGAGACCGAUAGCGAACAAGUACAGUGAUGGAAAGAUGAAAAGAACUUUGAAAAGAGAGUGAAAAAGUACGUGAAAUUGUUGAAAGGGAAGGGCAUUUGAUCAGACAUGGUGUUUUUGUCAUGCACUCGCCUCUCGUGGGCUUGGGUCUCUCAAAAAUUUCACUGGGCCAACAUCAAUUUUGGCGGCAGGAAAAAUCUUUUGGAAUGUAGCUACCUCGGUAGUGUUAUAGCCUUUUGAAAUACUGUCAGCUGGGAUUGA